GUGAAAUGUGGUAUUUAAUAUGAUGUAACGUCCAUCUGUACUGUUUCAUAUACAUAGUCACUUAUUAGGUUUCUAAGCCGAAAUGUUCUGUGUGGUCUUAGAUCUCCGGCAAAUUAAUCUACAUGUCUAAUUUGAUAAAAUACCGAGUUUUUUCUCAUUCUUUGUCACGAAGAAGUGACAGUUUUGUAAUGAAGUGUUCAUUUUCUUAAGUGUUAAGUUAUAUAGGUCUAGUUUUCUAGUAAUUAGGUUAUUUACAGUAAUCCAUGACCAGACUGGUUGUUCUAGAGUCAUAUUAUUAGGAAUAUUACGGUAUGCUUUGAGGUUCAAUGUAAUUCAACAGGGCUUGUUUACUUAUCGUUGAUUGGUCAGUUAUUGAAAGAUUAGCCAAUCGGAGCACACCUUACGCUUCGCGGAUGAAGCACAUAGAAAAGAUAUGGCGAGACCGGACGGCCAGAUUUGGCAAAAUCGUUGUCAUAAAUGACUAGAAAGAAGGAGGUUCAGGACAUUCUCAGGGUUCAACGACAUGUAAAGUAGAGAAGGGGCUUAGACGGCUGGACAACUUCAGGACCGAUGUCGACGCAUACCAACGCUUAAGACAGGUGUUGUGGAGAGCACAUUGGGCCCUGUCAUCCCACUAGAUCAGUGUUAUAUUGUACAGUACCAAUGUGAUGUAAAUGCCGAACUGUGAACUGUUUAUGUUGAGUCAUGAACAUAGUUCAAGUGUAACGGAAGUAGCGACUUUGCCGAACUGUUGUAUUGUUUACAUUAUCAGCUGAUUUGAUGUAAUGGGGUACUUUGUGAUUAUUUGGAGCCUGUAAUGACUGCAGUGAUCUAUAAUAAACUGAACUUUGAAUUAUCAUAAAAUAGUACUGAUUGAUUCAUAUUUCAAUUGAUUUUUCCAGUGAAAUUUAGUUAUGAAUAUCAUAAUGGUAUAAAUUGUUCUGAAAAGGAAUGUUUUAGUCAUUUGAAGGCAAUAAUGUAAUUCCUUGAUAAUAUGAAGUGUUUAUUGUGUGAGGAAUUCCGACUGUACCACUGUACCCCUGUUCCACUGUAUUGUGAGAUUUAUACCUUAUGGUAUGUUUAUACUGUCAUGUUGAGUGUUUAUAACUGUUAAUUUAUAAACAUAAUUGUUAAGUUUACAAA